rnacentral:rRNA from 1 species
UGAGCAACCUGCCCUUGGCUUUGGGAUAACCCCUCGGAAACGGGGGCUAAUACCGAAUGUUCACUGCUGGACGCAUGUUUGGUGGUGGAAAGUUUUUCGGCUGGGGAUGGGCCNCGCGCU